UACGUAGGUGGCAAGCGUUGUCCGGAUUUACUGGGCGUAAAGAGCGCGCAGGCGGUCGUGCAAGUCGCGUGUGAAAGCCCCCGGCUCAACUGGGGAGGGUCACGCGAUACUGCUCGACUCGAAGGCAGGAGAGGGAAGUGGAAUUCCCGGUGUAGUGGUGAAAUGCGUAGAUAUCUGGAGGAACACCGGUGGCGAAGGCGGCAUUCUGGACCGAUAUUGACGCUGAGGAGCGAAAGCCAGGGGAGCAAACGGG
rnacentral:rRNA from 1 species